rnacentral:rRNA from 1 species
AUGGCGACGAUAGUGAACACGACGGAGGAGGAGCCGAUGCUGGCGGUGGUGCGCUCCACCGCGCAGCUCGCCUGGGCCGACGCGGGCCCGGAGGUCGCCGACCCGGAGGUGGCCCGCCUCUGCGCCGAGGCGCAGCAGCACCUCCUCGCCGGCCGCUGGCUCGACAUGGCCACCCUCAUGCUAGCCUCCGCCGACCUCCUCCUCCUCUCCCCCAGCGCCCCCGACAAAGGUCAGCCCGCCCCUCCCCUCUCCGUCUCCGUCUCCGUCCGCUCCUUUCUGAAUUGCGCCGCGUUGCUGUGUGCAGCCGCAGAUCUCGAGUGCAUCCUCACCGUCAUCUGCAACCUCGUCACCAAGGCCGGAUCCGAGGACGAGGCCCUGGAGAUCGCCAAGCUCAUCUGCGCCAAGCUCACCCACCAGCCGCCGGCCGACAAGCCCACGCUGCGCAUCAAAGUCCUCUUCAGCCUGUACAACCUGCUUCCGAGCCUCUCCGGCAAGGCCAUGGUCUACAGGAAGGCGCUCGAGGUCGCCGCCGCCGCCGCCGGGAAGGCCGCCGCCGACUGCGUCGUCCCCACCUUCAAGAACAUCGACGCCUUUGUUGCCUACUGGGGCAUCGGCAAGCCGGAGCAGAGGGAGCUGUUCCUUGCCGUCACCAGGAUUCUUAAAGACCACAAGGGCAUGACCAAGGACUACUUCAAGUUUCUCAACAAGUACCUGGCCACGUUCGAUGGAUCGGCUGAUGAUGCUGAUGCAAUCGGUGCGGCAAAGGAAGAAGCUGCUGCAGCAAUUGUUGAGUUUGUCAAGUCAUCUGACCUCUAUCAGUGUGACCUGCUCGAUAUGCCAGCUGUUGCACAGCUCGAGAAAGAUGACAAGUAUCAGCCUGUUUACGAGCUACUGAAGAUAUUCCUUACUCAGAGGCUCGAAUCCUAUUUAGCGUUUCAGACUGCUAACUCUACCUUGCUGCAAGGAUAUGGACUGGUUCAUGAGGAGUGCAUAACCAAAAUGCGUCUGAUGUCCCUGCUUGAUCUGAGUGGCCAUUGUUCUGGGGAAAUUCCUUACUCUGCAAUUACAAAAGCCCUUGAGAUCAAUGAUGAUGAGGUGGAAUAUUGGAUUGUGAAAGCAAUUUCAUCAAAGAUUUUGGACUGCAAAGUUGACCAGCUUAAUCAAUUGGUCAUUGUCAGCCGACAUACUGUGAGGGUCUUUGGGAUGCCACAAUGGCAGAGUCUACGUUCAAAGCUUGGAGUGUGGAGGGGAAACAUUGCAAAUGCUAUCAACACAAUCCAAGCUAACAAGGUGACUGAAGAUGGCGGGCAGGGGAUGCAAGGAUUGAUGAUCCGCUGA